ACGCGAAGAACCUUACCAGCCCUUGACAUGCCCGGCUACUUGCAGAGAUGCAAGGUUCCCUUCGGGGACCGGGACACAGGUGCUGCAUGGCUGUCGUCAGCUCGUGUCGUGAGAUGUUGGGUUAAGUCCCGCAACGAGCGCAACCCUCGCCCUUAGUUGCCAGCAUUCAGUUGGGCACUCUAAGGGGACUGCCGGUGAUAAGCCGAGAGGAAGGUGGGGAUGACGUCAAGUCCUCAUGGCCCUUACGGGCUGGGCUACACACGUGCUACAAUGGUGGUGACAGUGGGCAGCGAGCACGGGAGUGUGAGCUAAUCUCCAAAAGCCAUCUCAGUUCGGAUUGCACUCUGCAACUCGAGUGCAUGAAGUUGGAAUCGCUAGUAAUCGCGGAUCAGCAUGCCGCGG
rnacentral:rRNA from 1 species